UCUCCGUAGGUGAACCUGCGGAGGGAUCAUUACCGAGUGAGGGUUCCGGCCCGACCUCCAACCCUUUGUGAAUUCGACCCAGUUGCCUCGGGGGCGACCCUGCCGGCACUCGGUCGCCGGGCGCCCCCGAAGGUCUCCCAACACUGCAUCUUUGCGUCGGAGUUUAACACAAAUGAAACAAAACUUUCAACAACGGAUCUCUUGGUUCUGGCAUCGAUGAAGAACGCAGC
rnacentral:misc_RNA from 1 species